rnacentral:tRNA from 1 species
GGGCUUUUAGUUCAGUUGGCUAGAACAUCUGCUUUGCAAGCAGGGGGUCGGGAGUUCGAGUCUCCCAAGGUCCA